rnacentral:rRNA from 1 species
GAUGAACGCUGGCGGCGUGCCUAAUACAUGCAAGUCGAGCGAACGGACGAGAAGCUUGCUUCUCUGAUGUUAGCGGCGGACGGGUGAGUAACACGUGGAUAACCUACCUAUAAGACUGGGGUAACUUCGGGAAACCGGAGCUAAUACCGGAUAAUAUUUUGAACCGCAUGGUUCAAAAGUGAAAGACGGUCUUGCUGUCACUUAUAGAUGGAUCCGCGCUGCAUUAGCUAGUUGGUAAGGUAACGGCUUACCAAGGCAACGAUGCAUAGCCGACCUGAGAGGGUGAUCGGCCACACUGGAACUGAGACACGGUCCAGACUCCUACGGGAGGCAGCAGUAGGGAAUCUUCCGCAAUGGGCGAAAGCCUGACGGAGCAACGCCGCGUGAGUGAUGAAGGUCUUCGGAUCGUAAAACUCUGUUAUUAGGGAAGAACAUAUGGUAAGUAACUGUGCACAUCUUGACGGUACCUAAUCAGAAAGCCACGGCUAACUACGUG